UGAUGACCAGGAUUCCAGGACGGUGUCUCACCUGGCAAGUUCACAAGAACAGGGACAUCCUCUCUGUGCCACCACAAAGGCAAGACAGCCCAGUGGAAGGCGGUGCUGCAGAUACCACACCCUAGAUCUGAGCCGACGAGGAUGGUGCAGAGGCAAGGCCAAAAUAAGAUGGGGGACAGAGGGUCAGCUCUUCACCUUCACAGUGACUGCGUGCCAGUUACACGUCUGAUUUCUGGAUUUUACUUCAUUAAUUCAUCACCAACCCUGAGGACCGUCUGCAUUUUAAAAAGUACUCCAGGGAAAUGAGUAUAGACCAAAGAGCA